UGGAAUUUAUAGUAAACACAAAAGCAACAUAUUUGAUGUUAAAAUAAAGAUACCUAUAACAAAUAGUUAUGUUAUAAUAAAGGGGGCUACUAGCCAGUUUGAAAAAGCAUAUUUUUACAAACCACUAAAGUAUAAAUUGGAGAAACAGUAGAGAAUUCAUUGAUUUUUGUAUAUGCAUAAAGCUCCAGCUGCACUUUUGGGCAGAGAUGUGCUGGAGCAGCUGGAAGCAAAAAUAAUGUUUAAAGAUGGAGAAAUUAGUUUGGAGGUAAAAGAUCAACAAUAUGUAAAAUUGUUAAGCCUAAAGUUAAUAACCAAAGAAAUUGAAGCUGAAAAUAAAGAAAAAUUAUUAAAAAAUAUGAAUCAGGUGUUUCUUAGAGUGUGAGCCUCUAAUACACCAGGGAGAGCAAAGAAUGCUCUACUAGCACAAAUCUAGCUUAAAGAAGGAAAACAAUCGGUAAGGGUUGAACAAUAUCCCUUGAAAAGGGAAGACAGAAAUGAAAUUCAAACAGGUUAGUACGAGAUUUAAGAGAUGUUAAUAAAAUAAUUGACAUUUUGUUAACUUAUCUGACACCUUAAUUAACCUAGUUUACUGUUUUAGAUUUGAUGGAUGCUUUCUUUUGCCUCCCUCUCCAUGAAGCCAGCCAGAAAAUUUUUGCAUUUGAAUGGGAGAAUCCCAAAAGUAGAUGUCAAACUCAGCUCACAUGGUGUGUACUACCCCAGGAGUUCAAGAACUCCCCUACCAUAUUUGGAGAACAGCUGGCAAAGGAUUUGAAGUCUUGGGAACUCCCACCAAGAGAAGGACAACUGCUUCAGUACGUGAAUGACCUCUUAAUAGCCACCCAGACCCAGGAGGCUUGUGUGGAUUGGAUGGUAAGCCUCCUAAACUUUUGGGCCGGCAGGGGUAUUGGGUAUCCCAAAAGAAAGCCCAGAUGGUAAAACAAACAGUUAUUUACCUGAGCUAUGAAGUGAGUGUUAGACAGAGGACCUUGAGGCAAGCCUGCAAGCAAGCAAUAUGCCAAACCCCAAAACCCCAGACAGUAAGAGAACUUAGAACCUUUCUAAGCAUGACGAGGUGGUGCAGACUGAAUUUAUAACUGUAAAUUGUUUAUUAAAACCCUGUGUGCCUUAAUCAUGGAAGAGAGCAAGAAUCUUCAGUGGACAACAGAAGCAACACAAGCCUUUGACCAGCUAAAGAAGGCUCUUAUGUCAGCUCCAACCCUGGGAUUUUCAGAUCUUCUUUCCUCAGCGGGAGUGAGGGAGAACCAGUGAUCCACGACUGCCUGGAGACCACUGAAGCCACCUACUCCAGUGCCCGGAUCUGAAGAACACCCCUCUUGAAGACGCUGAGACCUGGUUCACCGAUCAUCAGCAGAAAAGGACAUGCUGGGUAUGUGGUUACCACAUGCAGACCAUUGCCAACAAACACCUCUGCGCAAAAAGCUGAAAUAGCUGCCUAACCCAGGCCUUAGAACUGGCAAAAGAAAAGAAAUCAACAUUUAUAUAGACUCAAGGUAUGCAUUUGGAAUAGUCUAUACACACAAAACUUUUUGAG